UUUGGGUGGAUGAGUGGCGAACGGGUGAGUAACACGUGAGUAACCUGCCCCCUUCUUUGGGAUAACGCCCGGAAACGGGUGCUAAUACUGGAUAUUCACUGGUCUUCGCAUGGGGGUUGGUGGAAAGGGUUUUCUGGUGGGGGAUGGGCUCGCGGCCUAUCAGCUUGUUGGUGGGGUGAUGGCCUACCAAGGCUUUGACGGGUAGCCGGCCUGAGAGGGUGACCGGUCACAUUGGGACUGAGAUACGGCCCAG
rnacentral:rRNA from 1 species